rnacentral:rRNA from 1 species
UACGUAGGGGGCAAGCGUUGUCCGGAUUUAUUGGGCGUAAAGAGCGUGUAGGCGGCCAGACAAGUCUGCUGUGAAAACCCGGGGCUCAACUCCGGGCUUGCGGGCGAUACGGGCAGGCUAGAGUUCGGUAGGGGAGACUGGAAUUCCUGGUGUAGCGGUGAAAUGCGCAGAUAUCAGGAGGAACACCGGUGGCGAAGGCGGGUCUCUGGGCCGAUACUGACGCUGAGGAGCGAAAGCGUGGGGAGCGAACAGG